GGUGGCUCAGGGGUAGAGCACUUGCCUUGCAUGCAGGAGGCCCUGGGUUCGAUUCCUCAGCACCA
rnacentral:tRNA from 1 species